rnacentral:rRNA from 1 species
CAACACUAGACGCAUGUCUAGAGUUUAAAAGAUGGUUCUGCUAUCACUCUUGGAUGGACCUGCGGUGCAUUAGCUAGUUGGUAAGGUAACGGCUUACCAAGGCAAUGAUGCAUAGCCGAGUUGAGAGACUGAUCGGCCACAUUGGGACUGAGACACGGCCCAAACUCCUACGGGAGGCAGCAGUAGGGAAUCUUCCACAAUGGACGCAAGUCUGAUGGAGCAACGCCGCGUGAGUGAAGAAGGGUUUCGGCUCGUAAAGCUCUGUUGGUAGUGAAGAAAGAUAGAGGUAGUAACUGGCCUUUAUUUGACGGUAAUUACUUAGAAAGUCACGGCUAACUACGUGCCAGCAGCCGCGGUAAUACGUAGGUGGCAAGCGUUGUCCGGAUUUAUUGGGCGUAAAGCGAGUGCAGGCGGUUCAAUAAGUCUGAUGUGAAAGCCUUCGGCUCAACCGGAGAAUUGCAUCAGAAACUGUUGAACUUGAGUGCAGAAGAGGAGAGUGGAACUCCAUGUGUAGCGGUGGAAUGCGUAGAUAUAUGGAAGAACACCAGUGGCGAAGGCGGCUCUCUGGUCUGCAACUGACGCUG